UUCCACUCAUCUGAGCACACCCAGGAAGUCCAAUUAAGAAAACAUCAUUGGAAAUUUUAGCCUUCAUACAUGUUUGGAUGGUCUGAGUUGAAAUUCUGAAACACUUUAAUAUCCAAAGAACUGCUCAUGUGACCAUCACUAUGAAUCAUUUCAGGGCAAGUGGAGACACAAAGAACAUGGGGAUUUUCUAAGACAGCACAUCUGAUAAAUGGUACUGCGUGAAUUUCAAAUACAGACACAAACUGCUUCACCA